AUUGAACGCUGGCGGCGUGCCUAAUACAUGCAAGUAGGACGCAGUUGCGAACGGGUGAGUCACGCGUUGGUAUCUACCUAUUAUAGGCGGUUAACUAUUGGAAACGAUAGCUAAUACCGCAUACUACUAGAUGGACCUGCGUUGUAUUGGCGAGUAGGUAGGGUGAUGCCCUACCUAGGCAACGAUACAUGGCCGAGCGGAGAGGGUGUAAGGGCACACUGGGACAGGAAGAAGGCCCCGACUCCUACGGGAGGCAGCAGGAGGGAAUCUUCGGCAAUGGGGGGAACCCUGACAGAGCAACGCCGCGUGAGUGAAGAAGGGUUUCGGAGCGUAAAGCUCUGUUGUUAAGGAAGCGGUACUUAACCAGAAAGGGACGGCUAACUACGUGCCAGCAGCCGCGGUAAUUC
rnacentral:rRNA from 1 species